rnacentral:misc_RNA from 2 species
AGGGUAAGGGAGGAUUCCUCCUCCCCCUGGUGUCUUAGUAAGCUGGUAGGCUAAUCACUAAGAGUAUCACCAGUAUGAUGACUACCUUCAUCAUAACCCUUUCCUUAUUUUGGCCCCUUCCUCGGGAGGGGCUUUCC